UAAUGCAAGUCGAGCGAACUGAUUAGAAGCUUGCUUCUAUGACGUUAGCGGCGGACGGGUGAGUAACACGUGGGCAACCUGCCUGUAAGACUGGGAUAACUUCGGGAAACCGAAGCUAAUACCGGAUAGGAUCUUCUCCUUCAUGGGAGAUGAUUGAAAGAUGGUUUCGGCUAUCACUUACAGAUGGGCCCGCGGUGCAUUAGCUAGUUGGUGAGGUAACGGCUCACCAAGGCAACGAUGCAUAGCCGACCUGAGAGGGUGAUCGGCCACACUGGAACUGAGACACGGCCC
rnacentral:rRNA from 1 species